UGGCAAAAUCAAUGACUUAUUCCAGGAAAAGAAAAACAAAAAUAGAAUAAAAGGAAAGAUCUUUGUUGCUUUUUAAUAUACUUUAAAGGCAAGAAGUUUCCUUGAAACUUUAUUUCAUUUCUAGCCAUCGAAUAAAGAGAUAAUGCACACUUGAAAAUGGGACAACGGUUUGUUCAUCUUGCAUUAAUUGUGAUCUUUAUUUUGUUCCUUGGCAUCAUAGCUUUGUUCGCACAUUUCAUGCUCGGUAAUCAUACAAAAACAAGACAAGAACGAAAGGUAAAGAAAGGACAAUCACUUCAUUUUGAACCGAUCAUCGGAGCUCCGCCAACAUUUGGUAUCCACUGGAAGUUAAAACAUACAAAUUCCUCAUCGUUUGUGGUAUACAAUUCAUCAAACGACAAAUUCAUCGUUAAACAGCAAAAUAUAUUAUCAAUUCGUCUUAAACUACACAUCAGGAAAAGUAGAAAUACUGUAAAUGAGGCAUGUCUUCAUUACAGUGAUGGAUGGGGAAAAUGUAAAACGGCUUUAUUGAAGAAAAAUACAUACGAAACUCUUCAAAUAAAGGAUAAGACAUUUUUAAUGCCAGGAUCGUAUAUCAGUGUGGACAUUUCACACCCACGUUAUAUAUCAAGGGGACAUAAACUCAAUAGUCUCGUAAUUUUGCAGUCGUUUUAUAGUGGUGUAGAAGAAGACGAUGAAAUAUAACUACCAAAGAAGUGAACCUAUUUUGAUAAUGCUUUUUGAGUAAGAUCUGGUUUUUAUAUAGUCUAUUUCUGUUAUGUAUGUUCUGGUUGCACAUUGGCUCCUUUUUGUACAUACUUGAUUAUUGAAUAUUUCCAUUCUUACAUUGUUAGAUAAAAAUUAUUGACGUGAUGUAUAUAGAAGACAUUUUCUUACCAACACAAGGCUGGAAUAUUUAAAUCUUCUCUAUUGGUUUCUAAGAUUUCAAUUACGAAAUGUUGAAAAAUGUUAGAGAGCUUGUUAUUGAAAAGCAUGACAUGUCGAAUUUUUCAUUUUUAAAAUAAGAAUAUGUAGUUUGAUACCGAAUUCCAUCUAUUGAAAAAGACUUUUAGAUGACUAGUUGAUGCACUUGUUGAUGAUGUCAUAUACUGUAGUUAGCCCAAGCUAGAAGAUUGAAAACUGAACCCUUUAUCUGAUGAAUAUAUCCAAGCUGUUCUGUUAUUCAUUCGGAAUAGCGUAAGAAACUAUAAUGUACUAUGGACACAUUAGUUUAUAAACAUUGAAGACACAUGAGGUUGAAGGUCCUAAUCCUCCGUAGCAAACAAAUAUGUAGUUGUUCCAAGAGACAAGUUAAAGCCAAAAAGAAUAACGUUUAGCAUGUCUAGUAUUCCAUUAUGAUAAAUUCGGAUUGUUUAACAAAAGUGCGUGGAAUUCACAGAAAAAAUCUUGGAAUCCAACGUGUUCACCUUCAGCGUUCAUGAUAAAGGGUUUUUUUUUUUACUUUUUGAUAUCAAUAUGAAAAAAGAACGAUAAAAAUAUCUCUUUUAUUUUUUGGAAAAUUCUUAUAAAGAACGAUAUAUAGCCGGUGUAUCUACUCUAACAUGAGCAACACGACGGGCGUCACAUGUGGAGCAGAAUCUGCUUACCAUUCCGGAGCACCUGAGAUCACCCCCAGUUUUUGGUGGGGUUCGUGUUGCUCAGUCUUUAGUUUUCUAUGUUGUGUUUUGUGUACUAUUGUUUGUCUAUUGGUCUUUUUUUUAUCCAGGGCGUUGUCAGUUUAUUUUCGACUUAUGAGUUUGAAUGUCCCUUUGGUAUCUUUCGCCUCUCUUUCAGAUCAUUCUUAUUACAGUUAAAGCUGGUCUUUAAAACUGUUGCAAUGGGGUAUAUUCAACUAGUGAUUACAAUUAAAUGAUAAUGUUAAAACAAAUCUUCAAUUACAAUAAAUAAACACUUUUGAUUAUUCUAAAUUGAACAUUACUUUACUUCAUUUUCAAUUGUACAAUCAACUACAUCGCUUCAAAACAGAUUGCCCUUUUAACAAAUGAAUGUCAUGCUUACAUUUAUGAAAAUACAACUUUGUAAAUACCAACAACGAAUAAACCGAGGGUGAUACCAUGAAAAUAUUGAAAUGUUUGAUUGACAACAUUUUUCUCGAGUUGGAUUGAUUUUGUAACAAACAGGGGAACAACACGUGGUGGUUGUUGAAUAUUUUAUUUUAUAUUUUUUUAUUGUCUAUCGAUUUAGACAUAACAGGGUCAUAUAAGGCCAGUAAAUGCCGUAUUCACAGGUAGCGUGUUUUAUUGGUUACCCGUAACUAUAUGUAGCAUGAUGAAUUGUACUUUUUAUGUUUGUAGAAAUAGAGGGAUGUACAUUGUCGAUUUCUGUAUGAUUGUUAUAAAAAAAUGUUUUAAAUGUACUGUUUGUAGACAUGUACAGGUAUGUGAGGAACUAUUACAAAAAUAUGAAAUUAAACUUUGAAAUGGUA